AUGCCUGCUGCUGUUUGGAAGGUUUGGGCCCCUCCGAAGUGCAAGUUUUUUGCUUGGUUGAUAAUUCAAAACAGAGUAUGGACGGCUGAUCGAUUGCUCCGUCGUGGCUGGCCAAACUGCAACCUUUGCCCGCUUCUCUUCCAGUGCAAGUUCUCCCAACGUGUUUGGGUACAGGUUGCUGCGUGGAUUGGCCUACAUGGUGAUGUGGUGAGGAGCUGGAGAUUUGAGGUUUCGGUUCAAGAAUGGUGGAUUAAAAAUGUGAUUGAGAGUGGAAACCAGAGAAAGGCAAUCACCUCCUUGUUCAUGUUAAUGUCUUGGGAGAUUUGGAAAGAGCGCAAUGUGAGGGUAUUCCGCAACACCGCCGCUACUAUGAUGAUGGUCGUCGCGAAGAUCAAAGAGGAGGCCCAUCUUUGGGCUUUGGCAGGUGCCACCCAUUUGAGUAUUGUGAUGCCGCGAGAGUAG
rnacentral:rRNA from 1 species